GGCCUCUUAGCUCAGUAGGUUAGAGCAUCGUGCUAAUAACGCGAGAGUCAUUGGUUCGAAACCAAUAGAGGCUA
rnacentral:tRNA from 1 species